GAGUUUGAUCNUGGCUCAGAUUGAACGCUGGCGGCAGGCCUAACACAUGCAAGUCGAGCGGAUGAGAGGAGCUUGCUCCUCGAUCCAGCGGCGGACGGGUGAGUAAUGCCUAGGAAUCUGCCUAGUAGUGGGGGACAACGUUUCGAAAGGAACGCUAAUACCGCAUACGUCCUACGGGAGAAAGUGGGGGAUCUUCGGACCUCACGCUAUUAGAUGAGCCUAGGUCGGAUUAGCUAGUUGGUAGGGUAAAGGCCUACCAAGGCGACGAUCCGUAACUGGUCUGAGAGGAUGAUCAGUCACACUGGAACUGAGACACGGUCCAGACUCCUACGGGAGGCAGCAGUGGGGAAUAUUGGACAAUGGGCGAAAGCCUGAUCCAGCCAUGCCGCGUGUGUGAAGAAGGCCUUCGGGUCGUAAAGCACUUUAAGUUGGGAGGAAGGGCUCAUAGCGAAUACCUGUGAGUUUUGACGUUACCAACAGAAUAAGCACCGGCUAACUUCGUGCCAGCAGCCGCGGUAAUACGAAGGGUGCAAGCGUUAAUCGGAAUUACUGGGCGUAAAGCGCGCGUAGGUGGUUUGAUAAGUUGGAUGUGAAAUCCCCGGGCUCAACCUGGGAACUGCAUCCAAAACUGUCUGGCUAGAGUGCGGUAGAGGGUAGUGGAAUUUCCAGUGUAGCGGUGACAUGCGUAGAUAUUGGAAGGAACACCAGUGGCGAAGGCGACGACCUGGACUGACACUGACACUGAGGUGCGAAAGCGUGGGGAGCAAACAGGAUGAGAGACCCGGGGAGGA
rnacentral:rRNA from 1 species